ACACGACUACAUUAGAUACCCGCGUAGUCCUAGCCGUAAACGAUACUCGCUAGGUGUCGGCCACGGUGCGACCGUUGUCGGUGCCGUAGGGAAGCCGUGAAGCGAGCCACCUGGGAAGUACGGCCGCAAGGCUGAAACGUUAAAGGAAUUGGCGGGGGAGCACCACAACGGGUGGAGCUUGCGGUUUAAUUGGAUUCAACGCCGGAAAUCUUACCGGGACCGACAGCAACAUGAAGGCCAGGCUGAAGACUUUGCCGGAUUAGCUG
rnacentral:rRNA from 1 species